rnacentral:sRNA from 1 species
CAGCCCCGUGGGGCCAGCCAGUGCUGGGCCAGGAGCGGCCACCUGGUUCCUGUGUGCUACGGCCCCGUGGGCCUGGGAGCUGCCUCUGAGGAGCACACCGCAGGGCCAGGCAUGUGAGGCCUCUGCGGGUCAUGGAGAACCUCCCUGCUGUGACCACUGAGGAGCUGACCCCCAUGAGGAGGGGUCCCGUGGGACCCUCAGGAGGUGGCAGCAGCCGGGACCAGGUCCGGACUGUGGCCAUGAGGCCCUCUGUGAGCUGGGAGAAAGCGGGGCCCAAGGAGGCCAAGGCGCCAGUGAGAGGCGAGAGACCUGGAGCGUUUGGCGCCUUCAGAGGAGCCAGGCGUUUGCUUGGUCUCCCCUAAUCCUGGGAACCUGCUGUGUUGCAGACGAGCCUCCUCCCGCCCGCGUGGCUGGGCCUGCUGCUGGGACCCCUCCCUGUCAGAUAGGAGCUUAUCCCACAGACCUGACCCUGCAGCUGCUGGCUGUACGGAGGAAGAGUGGACUGCGGGACCCCGGCCUACAGCAGACCCUCCGGGGCCAGCUCCGCCUGCUGGAGAAUGACAGCCGGGAGAUGGCCCGCGUGCUCGGGGAAUUAUCAGCCAGGCUGCUGUCUAUCCACAGUGACCAGGACCGGAUCGUGGUGACGUUUAAGACUUUUGAAGAAAUCUGGAAAGUUUCCACUUACCACGCUCUUGGCUUCACUCAUCACUGCCUGGCAAACCUGCUCAUGGACCAGGCCUUCUGGCUGCUCUCGCCCAGUGAGGAGGAGGAGACGGCCAUCCAAGUCCACGUGGAUGAGAACGCCUUGAGGCUGACCCACGAGAGCCUCCUCAUCCAAGAAGCAAAGACCUCCCUCUUCCGGCUCCAGGUGGGCUCUUAGGGUCCCCCAGGACCCCAUCGAUGACGCCAUGGGUGGCCCUGUGAUGCCCGACAACCCGCUGAUGGCUGUGGGCCUGGCCUCGGCAUUGGCAGACUUCCAGGGCUCGGGGCCUGAAGAGAUGACCUUCCGAGGUGGAGACCUUAUCGAGAUCCUUGGGGCGCAGGUGCCUGGCCUGCCCUGGUGCGUGGGCCGACACACAGCCUCGGGCCAGAUGGGGUUUGUGCGGAGCAGUCUCAUCAGCACGCAGGACCCCGUGUCCCAGUUGGAAAGUGCGAUUUUUCUCAAUGAGGAAGAGAAGUCAUUCUUCAGUGAGGGCUGCUUUUCUGAGGAGGAUGCCAGGCAGUUGCUGAGGCGGAUGUCGGGCACCGAUGUCUGCAGCGUGUACAGCCUGGACUCAGUAGAGGAAGCUGAGACCGAGCAGCUGCAGGAACAAGAAAUACCUCCACCUUGCCUGAGCCCGGAGCCACAGGAGACCCUGCAGAAGGUGAAGAAUGUUCUGGAACAAUGCAAGACCUGCCCAGGCUGCCCCCAGGAGCCAGCGUCCUGGGGUCUCUGUGCGGCAUCCAGCAACGUGAGCUUGCAGGACCCCGAGGAGCCCCCCUUCUGCUUGGAAGCCAAGGAUGACUGGGAGGACCCAGAGGCCCUGAGCUCACUGCUGCUGUUCCUGAACGCCCCUGGGUACAAGACCAGCUUCCGUGGCCUGUAUGGUGUGGCGCUGCCAUGGCUGAGCAGCGUGUUCCGCAGCUUCAGCGACGAGGAGGAGCUGGCUGGGCACCUCGCACGGGCCCGCGGGGCGGCCAAGAAAGCUGGCCUCCUCAUGGCCCUGGCCAGGCUCUGCUUCCUCCUGGGGCGGCUGUGCAGCAGGAGGCUCAAGCUGUCCCAGGCCCGGGUGUACUUUGAGGAAGCGCUGGGGGCCCUGGAGGGCAGCUUCGAGGACCUGUUCCUGGUGGUGGCUGUGUACGCCAACCUGGCCAGCAUUUACCGGAAGCAGAAGAACCGGGAGAAGUGUGCACAGGUGGUGCCCAAAGCCAUGGCCCUGCUCCUGGGGACGCCCGGCCACAUCUGCAGCACCGAGGCGGAGGGGGAGCUCCUGCAGCUGGCGCUGCGGCGGGCGGUGGGUGGCCAGAGCCUGCAGGCCGAGGCCCGGGCCUGCUUCCUGCUGGCCAGGCAUCACGUGCACCUCAAGCAGCCCGAGGAGGCCCUGCCCUUCCUAGAGCGGCUGCUGCUUUUGCACAGGGACUCGGGAGCCCCAGAGGCUGCAUGGCUCUCAGACUGCUACCUACUCCUGGCUGACAUCUACAGCCGCAAGUGCCUGCCCCACCUGGUGCUGAGCUGUGUCAAGGUGGCCUCAUUGCGGACACGGGGCUCGCCGGCCGGCUCGCUGAGGAGUGUGAACCUCGUGCUCCAGAACGCCCUCCAGCCCCACAGCCUCCCCGCCCAGACUUCCCACUACCUCAGGCAAGCGCUGGCCUCCCUGACGCCGGGCACGGGCCAGGCGCUGCGCAGCCACCUCUACGCCAGCUUGGCCCAGCUGUACAGACACCACGGCUGCCACGGCCCGGCCAUCACCUUCAUGACGCAGGCAGUGGAAGCCAGUGCUGUUGCUGGAGUCCGUGCCAUCGUGGACCACCUGGUGGCCCUGGCCUGGCUGCACGUGCUUCAUGGGCAGAGCCCGGUGGCCCUGGACAUCCUGCAGUCUGUCCAGGAUGCGGAGGUGGCCAGCGAGGACCAGGAGGGCGUGAUUGCCAACAUGGUGGCCGUGGCUCUGAAGAGGACCGGCCGGACGAGGCAGGCAGCGGAGGGCUACUACUGCGCCCUGCGGGUGGCUCGGGACCUGGGCCAGCAGAGGAACCAGGCAGUGGUGCUGGCCAACUUCGGGGCCCUGUGCCUGCACGCGGGUGCCAGCAGGCUGGCCCGGCACUACCUCCUGGAGGCUGUGCGGCUGUUCUCGAGGCUGCCCCGUGAGGAGUGUGGCCGGGACUUCACCCACGUGCUCCUGCAGCUGGGUCACCUCUGCACCCGCCAGGGCCCGGCCCAGCAGGGCAAGGGCUACUAUGAGUGGGCCCUUCUGGUCGCCGUGGAGUUGGGCCACGUGGAGAGCCAGCUGCGGGCCGUCCAGCGGCUGUGCCACUUCUACAGUGCCGUCAUGCCCAGCGAGGCCCAGUGUGUCAUCUACCAUGAGCUCCAGCUCUCCCUGGCCUGCAAGGUGGCCGACAAGGUGCUGGAGGGGCAGCUCCUGGAGACCAUCAGCCAGUUCUACCUGUCCCUGGGCACUGAGCGGUCAUCUCAACCCCAGCAGUAGCAGUACGUGCAUUCUGGGCUGUUCUUCCUACCGAGGUGGUUUUUGUCAUCUGACCUCUGCCUGCCCCGAGUCUUCACUCCUGGCCUUCAUCUGUGCCCUUAAAUGUGACCACAGCAGCCACCUGUGGCUUCUCUCCCACAGAAGACAGAGCCAGUCGUAUCACCUGCUUCCCUGGGGCAGGGUUUCAAGGUCUCACGUCCCACCUGUGGCCCACUUGGCUCCCCUGGAGCAUCCUGACCUGGUGGGGUAACCACGGCCCUGGCCACCCCACCCACAGGGCCCAGUGACAUUGCUGCAGUCACACCCCUUCGACUCACCGAGAGAGCAGGGAAGGAACCAGAUUCCACAGGGACCCAGGAGAUUGGCUCCAGUCUUGGCCUCAGGUUCACAGCAGGAAAAUGGGCCAGUGUGUUAGAGCCAUGUUUCUCAAACUGUGGUCCCUGGACCAGCAGAGCAGCAUCCAUGUCACCCAGGAGCUUGUGGCAAGUGGGAGUUCUAGGGCCCGCCCCAGGCCUGUGGAGCCAGAAGCUCUGGGGGCAGGCCAGCAAGCUAUACGGACAGGCCUCCUGGUGACUGUGAUGCGUGCACACCUUGAGAACCAUUGGCCUGGAUAGCAUCUGAACACUAAUGGCUCCUGGUGCAUCUGGAGAAGACACAGGCCAUGUCUGGGAUGCGGGGGAGAUGGACUAGCACGCUUCCCCUGCCACAGGGCAGCAUGAUGCCCAGUUCCCUCAGAAGGAUGUCCUUCAUCUUUCCCGUGCCGUGUGUGUUCACCCCCACCCUCUCAGCAGCCUGGGAAGGGCAGGACACUGCACACACAAGAGGGCCAUUCCCAGUCCCAUUCCAGAUUCAUCUGUCACCAGACCCAUGGGAGGAGGCAGACUGGUUCCAGGAGGAUAAGAGACCUUGUUCUGACACCUGUGUCUGAUUCCAGGGCCUACAAAUCCGCACUGGACUACACCAAACGGAGUCUGGGGAUUUUCAUUGACCUCCAGAAGAAAGAGAAGGAGGCGCAUGCCUGGCUGCAAGCAGGAAAGAUCUAUUACAUCUUGCGACAGAGCGAGCUGGUUGACCUGUACAUCCAGGUGGCGCAGAAUGUGGCCCUGUACACAGGCGACCCCAACCUGGGGCUAGAGCUGUUUGAGGCGGCUGGAGACAUCUUCUUCAAUGGGGCCUGGGAGCGGGAGAAAGCCGUGUCCUUCUACCGGGACCGGGCCCUGCCCCUGGCAGUGACUACGGGCAACCGCAAGGCAGAGCUGCGGCUGUGCAACAAGCUGGUGGCACUGCUGGCCACGCUGGAGGAGCCCCGGGAGGGCUUGGAGUUUGCCCACACGGCCCUAGCACUCAGCAUCACCCUGGGUAAGCCCCCUGAGCCCCUGCCCUGCCAGGACCCACACUUUGCCAGAGCUCAGCCUCCAGGUCUGCAGGGCAGGAGCCGAAACAGCUGCCGGAUUUUCCUGGUCUCCCGUCCAGGCAGGCAGAUCUGCCCAGCUAGCUCCCCCGUCCGGCCGCGGGGCACAGCCCGAGGGCUCUCACGCAGUGCAGAGCUCCCUGCCUGGCUGAGCUCUGCUUCCUGUGCCUCUUCCCCCUGCUGACCACGAGGGCCGCCCAGUGUGCCCUCUGCCUUCCAGACAUGCCAGGCAUCUCGUUGGUCCCUGCAUGUGCCAGGCUGAGUGGCACGUUCCCUUUCUCUUGUACCCUUCCCACCCUCAUCAACCGCAUGGCUCUCUGGCUGAUGAAAUCCCAGUUCCCCUUCCAGCAGCCUCUUAAUGCUGGGCAUCCCCCGGUGCUGGGCCAGGGUCAUCUGUCCUCCUCUAGAGAGAGGGAGCCCUGGACAGGCCGCAUGCCCCAGUGCCUUGCGCCCCAGGGCCUGGUACACAGGUGUGCAGCCACGUGGGAAUGCAUUGAAUGCAGGCUCCACGGCACUCUCCCUGAAAAGGGGAGGACACCGGAGACAGCCUGGGUGGGCUUGCGCAUCUGCAGGGGGACCUGGAGCUCAGGCACGCAGUGACUCCCCAAGGUAGGGGCCUCCGAUGAUGACACACCCAGGAAGAGUCGGAUGUCACGUCUGUGGGUUGCCUGGAGCCCUGGUGCCCAGGAGCACCUGGGCUGCGUGCCUUUUGGGCUCUCCUGGUUAAAAACAGUGAGCAAAGGCAGGUGGCUGUGUGUAGGCACAGAGCUGGGCCAUCCAAGUCUGAGUCUGCCAAAGCCUCACGGUAGACGGGGGCAGGCCUUAUUAGUUCUGCUUUGCAGAUGGGAAAGUGAGUCUGGGAGCCCUGAAGGGACUGGCCAGAACUGCCCAGGUGAUGCAGGUGCCUGGAGGCGAGCCAGGUGCUGCCUGGGGUCUGCAUGCCUGCUCCUGAGGGUCCUGUGCCCUGCCUGCCCCAGGGAGCCAUGUCCUCACACCUGCCCCCUUGGCCUGCACCCCAGGGGACCGGCUGAACGAGCGUGUGGCCUACCACCGGCUGGCCGCCCUGCAACACCGGCUGGGCCAUGGCGAGCUGGCAGAGCACUUCUACCUCAAGGCCCUGUCGCUCUGCAACUCGCCGCUGGAGUUUGACGAGGAGACCCUGUACUACGUGAAGGUGUACCUGGUGCUCGGUGACAUCAUCUUCUACGACCUGAAGGACCCGUUUGAUGCAGCCGGGUACUACCAGCUGGCGCUGGCGGCCGC